UACGAAGGGGGCUAGCGUUGCUCGGAAUCACUGGGCGUAAUGGGUGCGUAGGCGGGUCUUUAAGUCAGGGGUGAAAUCCUGGAGCUCAACUCCAGAACUGCCUUUGAUACUGAAGAUCUUGAGUUCGGGAGAGGUGAGUGGAACUGCGAGUGUAGAGGUGAAAUUCGUAGAUAUUCGCAAGAACACCAGUGGCGAAGGCGGCUCACUGGCCCGAUACUGACGCUGAUGCACGAAAGCGUGGGGAGCAAACAGG
rnacentral:rRNA from 1 species